GCCGGCGUAGCUCAAAUGGUAGAGCGCGUGAUUUGUAAUCACGAGGUUGUGGGUUCGAUUCCUGCCGCCGGCACCA
rnacentral:tRNA from 1 species